CAAGUCUUGACAUCCUCCUGAAUAGAGGGUAACGCCUCUAGGCCUUCGGGACAGGAGAGACAGGUGGUGCAUGGUUGUCGUCAGCUCGUGUCGUGAGAUGUUGGGUUAAGUCCCGCAACGAGCGCAACCCCUAUCUUUAGUAGCCAGCGGCCAGGCCGGGCACUCUAGAGAGACUGCCGGGGAUAACCCGGAGGAAGGUGGGGAUGACGUCAAAUCAUCAUGCCCCUUAUGAUUUGGGCUACACACGUGCUACAAUGGCGUAAACAGAGGGAAGCGAGCCUGCGAGGGGGAGCAAAUCCCAAAAAUAACGUCCCAGUUCGGAUUGUAGUCUGCAACCCGACUACAUGAAGCUGGAAUCGCUAGUAAUCGCGGAUCAGAAUGCCGCGGUGAAUACGUUCCC
rnacentral:rRNA from 1 species